AAGGGCUGGGAUAACUUCGGGAAACCGGAGCUAAUACCGGAUAAUAUAUUGAACCGCAUGGUUCAAUAGUGAAAGACGGUUUUGCUGUCACUUAUAGAUGGAUCCGCGCCGCAUUAGCUAGUUGGUAAAGUAACGGCUUACCAAGGCAACGAUGCGUAGCCGACCUGAGAGGGUGAUCGGCCACACUGGAACUGAGACACGGUCCAG
rnacentral:rRNA from 1 species